rnacentral:rRNA from 1 species
CGGCGCCACAAGUGGGAGCCACUUUUAUUGGGUCUAAAGCAUCCGUAGCCGGUUUGAUAAAUUCUUUGUGAAACUGUUAAGCUCAACUUAACAACGUGCAGAGAAAACUGUCAAGCUUGGGACUGGGAGGGGUAAGAGGUAUUUUUAGGGGAGCGGUAAAAUGCUAUAAUCCUGAGAGGACCGCCAGUGGCGAAGGCGUCUUACCAGAACAGGUCCGACGGUGAGGGAUGAAAGCUAGGGGAGCAAAACGGAUUAGAUACCCGAGUAGUCC